rnacentral:lncRNA from 1 species
CUCAGAGCUCUGUUUAUUACUGAGAACUCUUCUUGGAUUAUUUGCCUAUAGUUCCCUAUGGAUGAAUUUCCUAUGGUGUUUUGAGUGAUUUUUCUGCAGUUAUCAGGUUGUGCACAUGGGGUAAAGAGUACAGUCAUGGAACAACAUGUGCAGGUUGUCAUUUAUCCAGGUCAGUUAAGAUGUUCUGCCCAGGCGAGGAGUAGGAG